rnacentral:ncRNA from 1 species
AACCCCCCGAUAUCUGCUUGAAACUUGGCGGAAUCUUCAGAUAUCAGGGGGUCCAAAAGCAGGCUCAGAGCCUGUGAAGGAUUAUAACGCAUGCACCAUAUAAAACAACACCCGGCCGCC